rnacentral:rRNA from 1 species
ACAGAGGGGGCAAGCGUUGUUCGGAAUUACUGGGCGUAAAGGGCGCGUAGGCGGCCGCUUAAGUCAGACGUGAAAUCCCUUGGCUCAACCAAGGAACUGCGUCUGAUACUGAGUGGCUCGAGUCCGGGAGAGGGAAGCGGAAUUCCAGGUGUAGCGGUGAAAUGCGUAGAUAUCUGGAGGAACACCGGUGGCGAAGGCGGCUUCCUGGACCGGUUACUGACGCUGAGGCGCGAAAGCCAGGGGAGCAAACGG